UGGGGAAUAUUGCACAAUGGGCGCAAGCCUGAUGCAGCGACGCCGCGUGAGGGAUGACGGCCUUCGGGUUGUAAACCUCUUUCAGUACAGACGAAGCGCAAGUGACGGUAUGUACAGAAGAAGCACCGGCCAACUACGUGCCAGCAGCCGCGGUAAUACGUAGGGUGCGAGCGUUGUCCGGAAUUACUGGGCGUAAAGAGCUCGUAGGUGGUUUGUCGCGUUGUUCGUGAAAACCGGGGGCUUAACCCUCGGCGUGCGGGCGAUACGGGCAGACUUGAGUACUGCAGGGGAGACUGGAAUUCCUGGUGUAGCGGUGGAAUGCGCAGAUAUCAGGAGGAACACCGGUGGCGAAGGCGGGUCUCUGGGCAGUAACUGACGCUGAGGAGCGAAAGCGUGGGGAGCGAACA
rnacentral:rRNA from 1 species